GCAGUCGAGCGCGAAUAGGGGCAACCCUUAGUAGAGCGGCGCACGGGUGCGUAACACGUGGAUAAUCUGCCUGGAUGCCUGGGAUAACCAGUCGAAAGAUUGGCUAAUACCGGAUAAGCCCACGGUCUCUUCGGAGACUGAGGGAAAAGGUGGCCUCUGUAUACAAGCUAUCACAACCAGAUGAGUCCGCGGCCCAUCAGCUAGUUGGCGGGGUAAUGGCCCACCAAGGCGACGACGGGUAGCUGGUCUGAGAGGACGAUCAGCCACACUGGAACUGAGACACGGUCCAGACUCCUACGGGAGGCAGCAGUGGGGAAUUUUGCGCAAUGGGCGAAAGCCUGACGCAGCAACGCCGCGUGUGUGAUGAAGGUCUUUGGAUUGUAAAGCACUUUCGACCGGGACGAAACCGUAAAGCCUAAUACGCUUUGCCUUGACGGUACCGGGAGAAGAAGCACCGGCUAACUCUGUGCCAGCAGCCGCGGUAAUACAGAGGGUGCAAGCGUUGUUCGGAAUUAUUGGGCGUAAAGCGCGUGUAGGCGGCUUUGCAAGUCGGGUGUGAAAGCCCUCAGCUCAACUGAGGAAGUGCGCCCGAAACUGCAGAGCUUGAGUGCCGGAGAGGGUGG
rnacentral:rRNA from 1 species